rnacentral:rRNA from 1 species
GUGGGGAAUAUUGGACAAUGGGCGAAGGCCUGAUCCAGCCAUGCCGCGUGUGUGAAGAAGGUCUUCGGAUUGUAAAGCACUUUAAGUUGGGAGGAAGGGCAUUAACCUAAUACGUUAGUGUUUUGACGUUACCGACAGAAUAAGCACCGGCUAACUUCGUGCCAGCAGCCGCGGUAAUACGAAGGGUGCAAGCGUUAAUCGGAAUUACUGGGCGUAAAGCGCGCGUAGGUGGUUCAGUAAGUUGGAAGUGAAAUCCCCGGGCUCAACCUGGGAACUGCUUUCAAAACUGCUGAGCUAGAGUACGGUAGAGGGUGGUGGAAUUUCCUGUGUAGCGGUGAAAUGCGUAGAUAUAGGAAGGAACACCAGUGGCGAAGGCGACCACCUGGACUGAUACUGACACUGAGGUGCGAAAGCGUGGGGAGCAAACAGGAUUAGAUACCCCAGUAGUCC